UACGUAGGGUGCAAGCGUUGUCCGGAAUUAUUGGGCGUAAAGAGCUCGUAGGCGGUUUGUCGCGUCUGCUGUGAAAACUCGGGGCUUAACUCCGGGCCUGCAGUGGGUACGGGCAGACUAGAGUGCGGUAGGGGAGACUGGAAUUCCUGGUGUAGCGGUGAAAUGCGCAGAUAUCAGGAGGAACACCAAUGGCGAAGGCAGCACUCUGGGACGUGACUGACGCUGAGACGCGAAAGCGUGGGGAGCAAACAGG
rnacentral:rRNA from 1 species